CCUGUCUACGCAGGUCGGGAUGUGAUUCCCACCGCCGCACGGAUCCGGGAAUUGAACCACACA
rnacentral:ncRNA from 1 species